rnacentral:rRNA from 1 species
UACGUAGGGUCCAAGCGUUAUCCGGAAUUACUGGGCGUAAAGCGUGCGCAGGCGGUGAUGUAAGACAGAUGUGAAAUCCCCGGGCUCAACCUGGGAACUGCAUUUGUGACUGCAUCGCUGGAGUGCGGCAGAGGGGGAUGGAAUUCCGCGUGUAGCAGUGAAAUGCGUAGAUAUGCGGAGGAACACCGAUGGCGAAGGCAAUCCCCUGGGCCUGCACUGACGCUCAUGCACGAAAGCGUGGGGAGCAAACAGG